ensembl:lncRNA
CAGGACUAAACCAGGACUAAACCAGGACUAAACCAGGACUAAACCAGGUCUAAACCAGGACUAAACCAGGACUAAACCAGGACUAAAUCAGGACUAAACCAGGUCUAAACCAGGACUAAACCAGGACUAAACCAGGACUAAAUCAGGACUAAACCAGGUCUAAACCAGGACUAAACCAGGUCUAAAUCAGGACUAAAACAGGACUAAACCAGGACUAAACCAGGACUAAACCAGGACUAAACCAGGUCUAAACCAGGACUAAACCAGGACUAAACCAGGACUAAACCAGGACUAAACCAGGUCUAAAUCAGGACUAAACCAGGACUAAACCAGGUCUAAACCAGGACUAAACCAGGUCUAAAUCAGGACUAAAACAGGACUAAACCAGGACUAAACCAGGACUAAACCAGGACUAAACCAGGACUAAACCAGGACUAAACCUGUACUAAACCAGGACUAAACCAGGUCUAAAC